rnacentral:rRNA from 1 species
GGACCCGCACAAGUAGUGGAGCAUGUGGUUUAAUUCGAAGAUACGCGCAGAACCUUACCAACACUUGACAUGUUCGUCGCGACUCUAAGAGAUUAGAGUUUUCGGUUCGGCCGGACGAAACACAGGUGCUGCAUGGCUGUCGUCAGCUCGUGUCGUGAGAUGUUGGGUUAAGUCCCGCAACGAGCGCAACCCUCACUUUUAGUUGCCAUCAUUAAGUUGGGCACUCUGAAAGAACUGCCAGUGAUAAGCUGGAGGAAGGUGGGGAUGACGUCAAGUCCUCAUGGCCCUUACGUGUUGGGCUACACACGUGCUACAAUGGUAUCUACAACAGGAAGCAAAACGGCAACGUUAAGCAAAUCCCGAAAAGAUACCUCAGUUCGGAUUGCACUCUGCAACUCGAGUGCAUG